rnacentral:misc_RNA from 1 species
UCUCCGUUGGUGAACCAGCGGAGGGAUCAUUACUGAGUUACCGCUCUACAACCCUUUGUGAACAUACCUAACUGUUGCUUCGGCGGGCAGAGGUCCCUCGCGGAUCUCUCCCGGCAACGCCCUCACGGGCGGAGCGCUCGCCGGAGGAUACCAAACUCUAUUUUAACGACGUUUCUUCUGAGUGGCACAAGCAAAUAAUUAAAACUUUUAACAACGGAUCUCUUGGUUCUG